rnacentral:rRNA from 1 species
GAAGCCGGUGGCCCAACCCCUUGUGGGAGGGAGCCGUCGAAGGUGGGACUGGCGAUUGGGACGAAGUCGUAACAAGGUAGCCGUACCGGAAGGUGCGGCUGGAUCACCUCCUUUCUAAGGAG